ACAGUUUAUUCGCUUCAGAAGUUUCGUUCAUUAAUCACAAAAAAAUAAUAAUAAAAAUGGUUAACGUCAAAUUAUCUUUGUUCUUCGUUGCCCUAUUUUCCGUGUAUUUGUGUGUCCAAGCGUUGGAAUGUUACUCUUGCACAAACUGUAACAAACCCAAAGGCAAAGCAAAGUGUGAAAAAAAUGAAGUUUGCGCUGUUUGGGUUCAAACUCACAAUACUACAAACACAACCCAUAAAAUGACAAAUCGAGGAUGUAAACCAAGAAGUUUCUGCCAAUCCGUUGCCUUGAACAAAACAAUCGUUUGCCAUGACUGUGAAAAGGAUAAAUGUAAUGAUGCUUCUGGAAUUACUGCCAGUAUUGCAACUUUAAUGGCAACUACUGUUGGAGUAAUUAUGGUUUCACGAUUUUAAUUAAAAUUUUUCAAAUUAAUUAUAAAAUUUAAUAAAAAAUAAAAAAAAAAAUAAUAUAAAAAUAAUUAAAAAAUUA